rnacentral:tRNA from 1 species
GCCUCGGUAGCUCAGUGGUAGAGCGAUUGCCUUGUAAGCAGUAGGUCAAGGGUUCAACUCCCUUCCGGGGCU